ACAUCGGUAGCACAGUGGUCAGUGCACUCUGCAGGAGACAGAAGGACGCGGGUUCAAUUCCCGUCCGAUGUC
rnacentral:tRNA from 1 species